UACCGCACGAGCAUGGAAAGCAAGUGGUAAAGAAAAGAGGAAGCAAGGCAACGGAAGCAUGUACGAAACGGACACUCGAGGUAUACAAAUAAUGGAAGUUGUAGGUUUGACACUAAAAUCCAAUGAUGGUGUUCGAAUGGAUGGAUGAAUGGAUUAACAUAAGCGAAAGCAUGAGAUGUUGCGUGGAUUUAGCAUCAUUAUGAAGGAUAGAAAGAUUGAAGAUCGAGUCAAGAGUAAAGGAUUGUACGGGAAAGAUCGGUCACAUAGUUUAGCAAAUGUAGGUCUGAAGUAUUAAUAUAAUGGAACGUGGUAAAUCCUUUUUAAUGAAUGUAUGACAUUUGAUAUUCGAACUUUCCUGUAAGUACUAUGUCUAUUAAAGAACGA